rnacentral:snRNA from 1 species
AGAUUUUGCCUUUUGUUAAAA